UCCUGGGUGGCCCAGCUGUUAAGGACCCAGCAUUGUCACUGCUAUGGCGCAGGUUCGAUCCCUGGCCUGGGAA
rnacentral:tRNA from 1 species